GACGAACGCUGGCGGCGUGCUUAACACAUGCAAGUCGAACGGAAAGGCCUGCUUUCCCUUGUGGAUUGCGGGUACUCGAGUGGCGAACGGGUGAGUAACACGUGAGUGAUCUGCCCCCAACUUGGGUAUAAGCCUGGGAAACUGGGUCUAAUUCCCGAUAGGACUGCAGGGUGGUGCCUGUGGUGGAAAACGAUUUUCUAGUGGUUGGGGAUGAGUUCGCGGCCUAUCAGCUUGUUGGUGGGGUAAUGGCCUACCAAGGCGGCGACGGGUAGCCGGCCUGAGAGGGUGGACGGCCACAUUGGGACUGAGAUACGGCCCAGACGCCUACGGGAGGCAGCAGUGGGGAAUAUUGCACAAUGGGCGGAAGCCUGAUGCAGCGACGCCGCGUGGGGGAUGACGGCCUUCGGGUUGUAAACUCCUUUCGACCGCGAGGAAGCCACCUGGUUGGAAGGGUGGUGACGGUAGUGGUAGAAGAAGCACCGGCUAACUACGUG
rnacentral:rRNA from 1 species